CCAUCCUGCUCUAUAUAUCUCUCUCUAUAGAUGUAGAGCAAGUUUUUUCUUCUUUUUAAUUUUAAACUUCUCUUUUUUUAUUUCCCUCUGUAGAUCAAAAGGCGGCUUAAGAAAUCGAACGCAGUGGAUGGAUCUAAGGUUGAAUUAGAUUGGGUAAACGGGAGAAUCACGGUUAAAGGGAAUUAGGUUUUUAGAUUUGUGAUUGGGGAAAUUAGGGUUUGGUUAAGAGGAGAUUUCUCAUUUCCGACAGAGGUAAGGUUGGGGUGGAUCUAGCGCUUGAGUUGGUGAAAGUAGGGAAGCUGGAAUUCAAGAGGGGAAAAAAGAUAGAUAUUAGGAGGGCGGAUUGAUGGUACUCGAAGGGGAAAAUGCAAGACUAUGCAUGGGCGGGGAGAAGAUGAGGAGAGGAAAAAGGUACGGCAGAUGUGGACAGUCCCUACACGUGCAACGGAGGUUCUGAAUGGUGGUGGUGUUGCUUCGCCCUCUUUUUCUUCUUCCUUUACUGUUAAUUCAUUUUCAAAGCAUCUUAAAUAUAUCCAAGGAUUUAAAGAGGGGCAUGCGCAAUAUAAACAACACAUUUUCAGAUGGACGCAAGAUCAGUGUUGGUGACUGUGCUCUUUUCAAACCACCUCUAGAUUCUCCACCUUUCAUUGGAAUAAUUCGUUGUCUGACUGCUAGCAAAGAAAAUAAGUUAAAGUUGGGUGUUAAUUGGCUUUAUCGACCUGCUGAAGUAAAGCUUGGUGAAGGCAUCCUGUUGGAAGCUGCGCCAAACGAAAUCUUUUAUUCCUUUCAUAAGGAUGAGAUUCCUGCUGCAUCAUUACUCCAUCGGUGUAAAGUUGCAUUUCUUCCCAAAGACGUUGAACUUCCAUCAGGGUUUUGCUCAUUUGUUUGCCGGCGAGUUUAUGAUAUUACAAACAAGUGUUUAUGGUGGCUAACUGACCAAGAUUAUAUUAAUGAACAACAAGAAGAAGUAGAUCAGCUAUUACAUAAGACGCGCUUAGAAAUGCAUGCUACAGUCCCGCCAGAUGGAUGUUCACCAAAGCCAGUGAAUGGUCCAACAUCAACAUCACAGUUAAAACCUAGUUUAGAGAAUGUACAGAACACUGCUUCAUCAUUUCCUUCUCAGGGUAAGGGAAAGAAAAGGGAGCGUGGUGAUCAAGGCUCCGAGCUUAUAAAACGGGAACGCACUGGUAAAAUAGAUGAUGGGGAUUCUGGUCAUGGUAGACGAGAAAUUAAUUUAAAAUUUGAGAUUGCAAAAAUCACUGAAAAGGGGGGCCUAGAAGAUUAUGAAGAUGUUGAGAAAUUAGUUCAUCUCAUGGGGUCUGAGAGAAAUGAAAAGAAAAUAGACUUGGUGAGCCGGUCAAUGCUUGCCAGUGUAAUAUCAGCUACAGACAAGUUUGACUGUCUUAAUCGUUUUGUUCAGCUGAGAGGGUUGCGUGUUUUUGAUGAAUGGCUCCAGGAAGUCCACAAAGGGAAGAUUGGUGAUGGUAGUGGUUCCAAGGAUGAUAGAUCGGUUGAUGAUUUUCUUUUAACCUUACUCCGAGCACUUGAUAAGCUACCUGUAAAUCUCACAGCUUUACAGAUGUGUAACAUUGGUAAGUCCGUGAAUCAUUUGCGUACUCAUAAGAACAUAGAGAUACAGAAGAAAGCAAGGAGUUUAGUUGAUACAUGGAAAAAGAGAGUUGAAGCUGAGAUGGAUGCCAAGUGUGUCUCAUCUCAUGGUGUUCCCUGGUCUGCAAGGUCUCGACUUUCGGAUGUUUCUCAGAGUGGAAGCAAGCAUUCUGGGUCAACUGAGGUUGCUGUGAAGAGUUCAGCCACUCAGCUUUCUGCCUCUAAAACUGUUUCGGUUAAGCUUACUCAAGGAGAGACUGCAACCAAGUCUGCUUCUGCAUUGGUGGGACCUAUGAAGGCAGCAAUAUCGCCUGCUUCUGCCAGUGCAAAUUUAAAAGAUGUGCAGGCACGAGGUGCAACUGUUGUUGGCACCUCUGAUCCUCCAACAACAGCAAAGGAUGAGAAAAGCAGCAGUUCGAGUCAGUCCCACAACAAUAGUCAAUCUUGUUCUAGUGACCAUGCAAAGACUGGUGGAGUUUCUUUGAAGGAGGAUGCAAGAAGUUCUGCAGCUGGUUCUGGAUCAGUGACUAAGAUCUCGGGAAAUUCUUCCCGGCACCGGAAAUCCAAUAACGGUUUACCAGGGUCAUCUGGAGUUCAAAGGGAAACUGGAUCAGGCAAAAAUUCUUUGCACAGAAAUCUUGCUUCAGAAAAAGUAUUACAGUCUGGUUUAACGUGUGAAAAGGCUGUGGAUGCUCCUGUGGCUGAGUCUAAUAGUCAUAAGUUCAUUGUUAAGAUCCCAAAUCGAGGUAGAAGUCCAGUACAAAGUGCCAGUGGAGGAUCUCUUGAAGAUCACUCAGUCAUGAAUAGCAGGGAUUCUUCUCCAGUGCUUUCAGAGGCGCAUGAACAAUUUGAUCGUAACUUGAAGGAGAAGAAUGAUAGUUACCGGACUAAUGUUGCUACUGAUGCGAAUACUGAAUCAUGGCAGAGCAAUGACUUAAAAGACAUGCUAACAGGGUUUGAUGAGGGAGAUGGUUCACCUGCAGCUGUUCCCGAUGAAGAAAACUGUAGGACUGGAGACGAUGCUAGGAAAACAAAUGAAGUUACUAAAACUGCUUCAUCUUCUGGAAAUGAACAUAAAUCAGGGAAAGUCCAGGAGCCUUCUUUCAGCUCCAUAAAUGCUCUAAUUGAUAGUUGUGUCAAGUUCUCUGAAUCAAAUGUGUGCAUGCCUGUUGGAGAUGAUGCUGGAAUGAAUCUGCUUGCUAGUGUGGCUACUGGAGUGGAUGUGGCUUCACUGAUUGAUUCUCCACAAAGAAAUACCUCCCUUGUUGAGCUCUCUUACACAGGCAAUGAUACAAAACUAAAACCUUCUUCUGGGGAUGAGGUUGUGCGAGAUCAAAAUCAGUCUGUUGAGAGUGCCAAUGAGCAUCUGAAGCAGGCAGUUGGUGGUAAUUCAUGGGUUAAGAAUGCAGACAGCCAGAUUGGUUCCUCUCAAGAAAAAUCUGGAGAGCUGAAUGAAAAUUUAACGUCUUCAAGUAUUCCGUACACUGCAGACCCAUGUCUUGAAAAUGAUAAAUUCAAGGAAAAUGUAACCACCGCUUUAAUUAAUUUGCCCUCUGCAAGCACUGUGGAGAGAACUACUGAUAUUGGAGAUUGCAAAGAGCAUCUGGAGAAAAAGGCAGGUGGAGUGGAUGGUGAUAGCAGUUUGGGUACUAAACAAAAAUGGUGCUCUUCUGUGGCCAAUGAAGAUAAAGUCAUAGAUCCAUUUGUAGAAGUUGAGAAAAAAGAAGUUCUAGGAUCUUCAUCUGUACCUUCUGUUGAAGUUGAUGUUGACAAUAAGAAAAAUGUCUCUGAAGGUUCAGAAAGAAGUUCACAGACUCAUCAGAAGUCACCAGUUGUUGGACAUUCCCCCAAAGGAACUGAGAAAGAAGCUUUGCCUCCUGGAUUUGGUAAAGAUACAGUUUUCGAAAAUGUUGAUGAAGUGAAGGCUGAGAAGGAUGUCGAGACUACGGCACCUGCUCAUACUGGUGAAUGCGAAACUGUCAGUGCCCAGAAAGGCGAGCUUGUGGAGCAGAAGCUAGAAGAUAAUGAGGGUAUUGAACCAUGUGCUGGACCGUCUCCUUGUGUAUCACCUACUGUAAGGGACAAAGAGAGGCCAAGGGGGUCUAAUUUGACUGGUGAAGAGGCAGAUGAAGCUGAAGAAGGGACAUCAGCUACUAGAGAUGCUCCUGUUACAGGUGGUACAGAUACAGAUGCAAAAGUAGAAUUUGACUUGAAUGAAGGCUUUAAUGCAGAUGAGGGGAAAUUUGGAGAUCCUAAUAACUUGACAGCAUCAGGAUGUUCAGCUCCUGUUCAAUUAAUUAGCUCAUUGCCUUUCCCUGUUUCUUCUGUGUCUAGCGACGUCCCUUCUACAAUUACUGUUGCUGCUGCUGCUAAAGGGCCUUUUGUUCCCCCAGAUAACCUUCUGCGGACUAAAGGGGCACUUGGUUGGAAGGGAUCAGCAGCCACAAGUGCAUUCCGGCCAGCUGAACCCAGAAAGAUUCUGGAUAUGCCUCUGGGUACAAGUAACAUCACUAUUGCUGAUGCUAGUACUAGGAAACAAAGUCGUCCUCCUUUGGAUAUUGAUUUGAAUGUACCUGAUGAGAGAGUCCUUCAGGAUCUAGCUUCCCGAAGUUUUGCUAAGGGCACAGACUCUGCACUGGACCUUACAAGUGCUCGUGAUUUAGCAUGUGGGAUGGUGGGUUCUCCACCCACUCGGUCCUCUGGGGGACUUGAUCUUGAUUUGAAUAGAGUUGAUGAGCCUGCUGAUUUGGGUAAUCACUCAACUGGGUAUAGUCGUAGACUGGAUGUCCCUAUGCAGCCUAUAAAAUCAUUGUCUGGGAUUCUUAAUAGUGAAGUAACCGUCCAUAGGGACUUCGAUUUGAAUAAUGGUCCUGCUGUUGAUGAGGUAAGCACUGAACCAUCACUAUUUAGCCAUAAUGCUAGAAGCAGCUAUGCCCCAUCUCAACCAUCAGCUUCCAGCCUCCGGAUGAACAGUACUGAGGUGGCAAAUUUCUCAUCAUGGUUUCCUACUGAGAAUACAUACUCAUCUAUUGCAAUACAAUCGAUCUUACCUGAUAGAGAGCAGCCUUUUCCAAUUGUUGCAACUGGUGGGCCACAUAGGGUGUUGGGCCCACCUAUUGGUGCCACCCCUUUUAAUCCUGAUGUCUAUAGGGAACCAAUGUUGUCAUCUUCACCAGCAGUGCCAUUUCCAUCAACUCCUUUCCAAUAUCCUGUUUUCCCCUUUGGAACAACAUUUCCUCUUCCUUCUACUAGCUUUUCUGUCAGCUCAACUACUUAUGUUGAUUCAUCUCCUGGUGGGAGGUUUUGUUUUCCUCCAGUUCAUUCGCAAUUGUUACGACCUGCUGGUGCUGUUCCAUCCCAUUACCCGAGGCCCUAUGUUGUUAGCCUUCCUUAUGGUAGCAAUAGUAGUGGUGCUGAGAACGGUAGGCAUUGGGGAAGGCAAGGUCUAGACUUAAAUGCUGGGCCUGGAGUUCCAGACAUUGAAGGAAGAGAUGAGUCGGCACCUCUUGCAUCAAGGCAACUGUCUGUUGCCAGUUCACAAGUCCAGGCAGAGGAGCAAGCAAGAAUCUAUCAGGUUCCUGGUAGCAUUUUGAAAAGGAAGGAACCUGAGGGAGGAUGGAAUGGAUACAAGCAAUCUUCAUGGCAGUAGGAAUCAAGAAACCUUAAAUGUCACAUCUGAUGACUCAACUCAAGGCAUGUAUUCAAGGAUGGGAAUUGGCUAACCCCCAGAGGUCAUUUACCCUGUGUGCUCUUAGAGGAUGGGUGUUCAUCUGCGACAGUUGUGAUUCCUGCCAACUUUGAUAUCAAUGUUUUUAUAAGGUGUUGGCACAGAGGUCGCGUUGAAGUCUGAUGUUGCACUUUCACCUCUAUUGGCCCUUGUGAUGACCAGUGACUGGCAACAAUGUUAUUCAUCUUUUGCUUGUGCUUCGCCUUGAUGUUUCUGUUGACCGAAUUUGCAAGGUAGGUGUCAUGAAGCAAAGCCUUGCAUGUAUUCUGGAACUUUUGGUCAGCUAUUGGGAGUUUGUCUUUGACCGUUCUGUGGGUGGAUAUUUUCUACUAAUGAUAUAUAACUACAGCAGUUCUAGGUGAUUAUAACGUUUUCAAGACGCAUUGGCACUGUUGUUAAGUAUGACUAAUUUAUUUUGAAGGGAAACUACUCUCAAUCCCUUUGAUUUGCUGCCUGCAGUGUUGGGAUUAGAAGUCAAGUUCACGAGUGAAACUCAACAAUAGGGUAAUAUUUUGGGAAAAAAGAGAAUGGGGUAAUGACUUCUGUACUAACCGACUAUUGGGCUUGAAUGUAGUUGUUCAAAAGGUGUAAAGCAAAUUCUGGGUAUGUUGCAUAUACAUGGUGUAGUUAUGCUUAUAGAUCAUGCAUUGUUUUAUUUAUAAAUAUGGGAUGACAGAAUCAUAAUUCUUACUGCGA